rnacentral:rRNA from 1 species
UACAGAGGUCUCAAGCGUUGUUCGGAUUCAUUGGGCGUAAAGGGUGCGUAGGCUGCGCGGCAAGUCAGGUGUGAAAUCCCGGGGCUCAACCCCGGAACUGCACUUGAUACUGCCGUGCUUGAGUACUGGAGAGGAGACUGGAAUUUACGGUGUAGCAGUGAAAUGCGUAGAUAUCGUAAGGAAGACCAGUGGCGAAGGCGAGUCUCUGGACAGUUACUGACGCUGAGGCACGAAGGCCAGGGGAGCAAACGGG